AAAUUGAAGAGUUUGAUCAUGGCUCAGAUUGAACGCUGGCGGCAGGCCUAACACAUGCAAGUCGAACGGUAACAAGAAGAAGCUUGCUUCUUUGCUGACGAGUGGCGGACGGGUGAGUAAUGUCUGGGAAACUGCCUGAUGGAGGGGGAUAACUACUGGAAACGGUAGCUAAUACCGCAUAACGUCGCAAGACCAAAGAGGGGGACCUUCGGGCCUCUUGCCAUCGGAUGUGCCCAGAUGGGAUUAGCUUGUUGGUGGGGUAACGGCUCACC
rnacentral:rRNA from 1 species